rnacentral:rRNA from 1 species
UCCUACGGGAGGCAGCAGUGGGGAAUAUUGCACAAUGGGCGAAAGCCUGAUGCAGCAACGCCGCGUGAGUGAUGACGGCCUUCGGGUUGUAAAGCUCUGUCUUUGGGGACGAUAAUGACGGUACCCAAGGAGGAAGCCACGGCUAACUACGUGCCAGCAGCCGCGGUAAUACGUAGGUGGCAAGCGUUGCCCGGAUUUACUGGGCGUAAAGGGUGCGUAGGCGGACCUUUAAGUGAGAUGUGAAAUCCCCGAGCUUAACUUGGGGGCUGCAUUUCAAACUGGAGGUCUAGAGUGCAGGAGAGGAGAGUGGAAUUCCUAGUGUAGCGGUGAAAUGCGUAGAGAUUAGGAAGAACACCAGUGGCGAAGGCGACUCUCUGGACUGUAACUGACGCUGAGGCACGAAAGCGUGGGGAGCAAACAGGAUUAGAUACCCUGGUAGU